CCUACGGGUGGCUGCAGUGAGGAAUAUUGGUCAAUGGCCGGAAGGCUGAACCAGCCAUGCCGCGUGAAGGUCAGUGCCCUAUGGGCGUUAAACUUCUUUUGUGCGGGAGCAAUAAUGGUCACGUGUGGCCAGACGAGAGUACCGUACGAAUAAGCAUCGGCUCACUCCGUGCCAGCAGCCGCGGUAAUACGGGGGAUGCAAGCGUUAUCCGGAUUUAUGGGGUUUAAAGGGUGCGUCAGCUGUGAGGUAAGUCAGCGGUGAAAUGCCCCCGCUCAACGGGGUGAAGUGCCAUUGAUACUGCCGUGCUGGAAUGCGGAUGCCGUGGGAGGAAUGUGUGGUGUAGCGGUGAAAUGCAUAGAUAUCACACAGAACACCGAUUGCGAAGGCAUCUCACGAAGCCGCGAUUGACGCUGCUGCACGAAAGCGUGGGUAUCAAACAGGAUUAGAUACCCGGGUAGUC
rnacentral:rRNA from 1 species